AUAUCUUUCUAUAACUAGAUGAAAGAGGUGAAACAUUGAAAUUUGAAGAUACGUUUUACUCUGUUCAGUCUUUCGAUGCUAGCUCUAGUCUUUUUACUUGCCAUGACUUUCAAAGAAUCAACAAAGAUGCUUGUAUUUUUGGUAAUACUGCAGGAAAUUUAUAUCUAUUCUUAUCGUCAAGAAUCAUCAAUCUCAAAUUACCCGUCUCGUACAGUGGUCAUGGAUCUUUUGCUGUGGAAAACAUCGAGGAUAAGAGCUCAAAAGUGACACUGGCUGUUGUUUCAAAGAACUACACAGUUAAUUUGUUUGUGUUAGAAGACUUGAAGAACAUUCCUGAGACUUGUAAAGAACUAUGUUUGCUGCCUAGCCAUGCACUCUUUUCAGCUCAAUCUCUUGGAGUUUUGUCAUUUCUUGGCAAAUCAUCGCUCAUUGCAUGCUCAUCGUCUAGUAGAAUUUUGUUAAUGUGGGUCGGAGUGUAAAAGUAAAAGCUAUAUAUAAUAAAUCUGUAAUGAAACGUG